AGUGAACGCUGGCGGUAGGCCUAACACAUGCAAGUCGAACGGCAGCACAGUAAGAGCUUGCUCUUACGGGUGGCGAGUGGCGGACGGGUGAGGAAUACAUCGGAAUCUACUUUUUCGUGGGGGAUAACGUAGGGAAACUUACGCUAAUACCGCAUACGACCUACGGGUGAAAGCAGGGGAUCUUCGGACCUUGCGCGAUUGAAUGAGCCGAUGUCGGAUUAGCUAGUUGGCGGGGUAAAGGCCCACCAAGGCGACGAUCCGUAGCUGGUCUGAGAGGAUGACCGGCAAAGUGGAACUGAGAACACGUCCAGGACCCCAAGGGGGGGCGGAGGGGGGAAUUUUGGCACAAGGGGGGAAGCCUUAACCCGCCAAUCCGGGGGGGGGAAGGAGGCCUUUGGGUUGGAAAGCCCUUUUUGUGGGAAAAAAAAGGAAGCGGUUUAACCCCCCGUUGUUGGGGGGGACCCAAAAAAAAACCCCCGGCCAAUCUCCU
rnacentral:rRNA from 1 species